rnacentral:snoRNA from 1 species
AGCUAAUGAUGGGGACAAUGCUUAAGCAAUUCUUUGUAUCUUUCCCAAGCUUCAUACAAUGAUUUCGAAUCUUGUUGCAUGAAUGAUGUAAUGUCAUUCCUCAUUUU